rnacentral:lncRNA from 1 species
AAAUAAAAUAAUGCUUAAAAGUACCUCCAAUUUUACAAUGUAUUGAGACUUUCACUAACAUUCUGAUGAAACUGAUUCAUAUCUUUACAGACAUGUACAUUCACAUUUUGACCAACAAUUUCAAACAGCAUAGUUCAUUUUUUUCCCUUAUAUACAAACAUUUACCAUAAAAUGGAAAUUUGUUGGAUACAUGUACAUAGUAAAAUUCCUCAAAAGACCAGAAAAAAAAUAACAAAUUACAGAUAGAGUCAUCAUCCUGCACAAUCUGCCAUGCAUGCUGCUGUAGAAAUUUACCAUCCCGCAAUACACCUCGAAUUCCAAGUUAUUCUUUUCCUCUGAUGUUAUAACACAAUUGUUUCUCUACACAUCUUGGUUUCUGCAUUUUUCUGAAGAUUAUUAUUAUGAACUAUUAACAACUAUUAACACAUUCAGAGUCUCCCUUCUGUUGAUAAAUGGAUUCAGCACUUAAUCUUUAUACACCGUUUUUUUUUAUUUUUUUUAUGAAUCAACUUUGUACACCUUUAGGAUCAGCUAUGCAGUAGUUAGCACUCCUAGAACAUAUGUAAGGUGCCUAGGAACAAUAAUAUAUUUAACAAAAGGUUAUUCUCUCUCGAGGUUAUCGUCCGAAUUGCCUUUGGGGCUCUCCAACAUAUCACCUGAGUAAGAUCCAUCUGUAUCUGAAAUUCCGUUCAAGAGGAAGGCCAGAUGGAGCAGAUCCUACAUGAUGAUGGUGCUGGGAGCCAAGAAAAGGAUUGCGAUGACCCGUGUAUGGGAAACCCUGCCUUUGGGCACUAGAUGUAAAUGGAUGCCCAAGGGAAGAUGAAGACCAAGCAGAUGUGUUUGAAUUCUCUGAAUAAGGAGUUGGGCUUCCCCAAAGAAAUUGCGGACCAGACAGUGUACCAACACUCGAUGAACUUGAAUUCGAUUCACCAAAAGCAGAUAUAGGCCUAGGACUUACGUUUACGUUUUUC